GCCACUGAACUGCUGACGUGGUCUGUGAGGGCUUAGUUAGCAGGAGCGUAGCACACUGUUUGCUGACACCUGCAGAGCUGAAAACGCAUAUUCAUAGGAAAACUAGCUUCUCCAGUGCAGUGGGACAGAAAUUCAGCAAGCAGAUUGCUGUCAACUGUCUUGGGACACUUUCACGGGACUGCGUUUGGCAGCAAAGACUUGGAUCAUUCCUUGAACAAAAUUAACAUUGUCAGUGGAGGACAUGGAGGACAAGAAGGUGAGCAGCAAGAGCCUAACUCUGCUUUCAAACCCCUGAGACCUGAAGGACUUUCAUCAUUUUGGAGUCACAGGAACCAUCGUGCAACAGGACAAGACCAGAACAGAGGUAUCUGUGGAACCAAGAGUGUAGCGGAGUAUGAACUAUUCCUAUCCAUGGCUUUAUAUAUCAGCAUUUAUCUGACUGGAGGAAAAGAAUGUAUUUUAGGUGACUUGCCUCUUCUCUGAAGCUUAUUCAAAUACAACUGAAGUCAACAGAAAGUUUGCAAUUGGCUUCAGAAAUAUCUACUCUUUAGUCUUCUGUGAAUUUGUGGCCUUUUCAGUAUGGUGACAAUUUAAAAUUCUUUGUUUCACAAUUUAUUUCAUCACUGAAUAAAUUAUUUUAAAUUUC